rnacentral:rRNA from 1 species
AGCGAACGCUGGCGGCAGGCUUAACACAUGCAAGUCGAGCGAGCCCUUCGGGGUCAGCGGCAGACGGGUGAGUAACACGUGGGAACGUACCCUUUGGUUCGGAAUAACGCUGGGAAACUAGCGCUAAUACCGGAUACGCCCUUUUGGGGAAAGGCUUGCUGCCGAAGGAUCGGCCCGCGUCUGAUUAGCUAGUUGGUGGGGUAAUGGCCUACCAAGGCGACGAUCAGUAGCUGGUCUGAGAGGAUGAUCAGCCACACUGGGACUGAGACACGGCCCAGACUCCUACGGGAGGCAGCAGUGGGGAAUAUUGGACAAUGGGCGCAAGCCUGAUCCAGCCAUGCCGCGUGAGUGAUGAAGGCCUUAGGGUUGUAAAGCUCUUUUGUCCGGGACGAUAAUGACGGUACCGGAAGAAUAAGCCCCGGCUAACUUCGUG